GACGAACGCUGGCGGCGUGCUUAACACAUGCAAGUCGAACGUGAUUUUUGUGGAAAUUCUUUCGGGAAUGGAAAUGAGAUGAAAGUGGCGAACGGGUGAGUAACACGUGAGCAACCUACCUUACACAGGGGGAUAGCCGUUGGAAACGACGAUUAAUACCGCAUGAGACCACAGAAUCGCAUGAUAUAGGGGUCAAAGAUUUAUCGGUGUAAGAAGGGCUCGCGUCUGAUUAGCUAGUUGGAAGGGUAAAGGCCUACCAAGGCGACGAUCAGUAGCCGGUCUGAGAGGAUGAACGGCCACAUUGGAACUGAGACACGGUCCAAACUCCUACGGGAGGCAGCAGUGGGGAAUAUUGCACAAUGGGGGGAACCCUGAUGCAGCGACGCCGCGUGAGCGAAGAAGGUUUUCGAAUCGUAAAGCUCUGUCCUAUGAGAAGAUAA
rnacentral:rRNA from 1 species